rnacentral:rRNA from 1 species
GCAAUAAGCUUGCUCUUUUGCUGACGAGUGGCGCACGGGUGCGUAACGCGUAUACAAUCUGCCUUCAAGCGGGGGAUAGCCCAUGGAAACGUGGAUUAAUACCCCAUGGUAUUAUGAUUUCACCUGGAAUUAUAAUUAAACAUUUAUGGCUUGAAGAUGAGUAUGCGUCCUAUUAGCUAGAUGGAGUGGUAACGGCACCCCAUGGCGACGAUAGGUAGGGGUCCUGAGAGGGAGAUCCCCCACACUGGUACUGAGACACGGACCAGACUCCUACGGGAGGCAGCAGUGAGGAAUAUUGGACAAUGGAGGCAACUCUGAUCCAGCCAUGCCGCGUGCAGGAAGACUGCCCUAUGGGUUGUAAACUGCUUUUAUACAGGAAGAAACCUUCUCACGUGUGGGGAGCUGACGGUACUGUAUGAAUAAGGAUCGGCUAACUCCGUGCCAGCAGCCGCGGUAAUACGGAGGAUCCAAGCGUUAUCCGGAAUCAUUGGGUUUAAAGGGUCCGUAGGCGGGUUUAUAAGUCAGUGGUGAAAGUCUGUCGCUUAACGAUAGAAUUGCCAUUGAUACUGUAGAUCUUGAAUUAUUAUGAAGUGGUUGGAAUGAGUAGUGUAGCGGUGAAAUGCAUAGAUAUUACUCAGAACACCUAUUGCGAAGGCAGAUCACUAAUAAUAUAUUGACGCUGAUGGACGAAAGCGUAGGUAGCGAACAGGAUUAGAUACCCUGGUAGUCUACGCCGUAAACGAUGGUCACUAGCUGUCCGGCCUAAUUGAGGGCUGGGUGGCCAAGCGAAAGUGAUAAGUGACCCACCUGGGGAGUACGUUCGCAAGAAUGAAACUCAAAGGAAUUGACGGGGGCCC